rnacentral:rRNA from 1 species
UGCGCAGGUGGCCAGGUGUGUGAGGCGUGAAAGCCCGGAGCUCAACUCCGGAAUUGCACCUCAAACUACAUGGCUAGAGCAUUGGAGAGGGGAGCAGAAUUCACGGUGUAGCAGUGAAAUGCGUAGAUAUCGUGAGGAAUACCAGAGGCGAAGGCGGCUCCCUGGACAAUUGCUGACACUCAGGCACGAAAGCGUGGGGAGCAAAAGGGAUUAGAUACCCCUGUAGUCCACGCCCUAAACGGUGCACACUAGGUCUUGGAGGAUUCGACCCCUUCAGGGCCCAAGCUAACGCGUUAAGUGUGCCGCCUGAGGACUACGGCCGCAAGGCUAAA